UGUCAUCGGCCCAGGCAAUGAGGUCAUUGUCCGGCCUCCUGGCAACUAGGGGGUCAGAACUAAAGCAGUGGAAGAAGCGGCCACAGCCUCACCUGGACGUCCACCCCAAGGCCAGCCUUUCCCCCUUGAGCCUUCAUGUCAUGGAGAACCGGGGCCCUCUCUCCCCCAGCCUCCCAGAGCCUCGGUCUUCCAUGACUGACAUCCCCAGUCAUGUGGACGAAGAGCUGGAUCAGGACACGGUGAACUUCAUCUCCGCCUUGUACUCUGCUCUGGGGCCCCUCCUGCCAGAAGUGACCCAACUGCAGAUCCACCAGGACCCCCCAGUCCACCUGAUGGUUGACAUGAAGGCCAAGUUGAGGGAACUGGGCUCCAGCGUCUCCGAUGCCAGGAAGAGGCUGCUGAGGUACAACAUCUACCUGAAGAAGAGGCUGGCCCGGGCGCUCCAGGAAAAGGCGGCCUGGAGGGAGCAGCAGGCACAGUUGGCACAGAUGGCACAGGUGGCACAGAUGGUACAAGUGGCGCAGAUGUCACAGGUGGCACAGGCGGCACAGAUGGCAGAUGCUGGCACCCAGCAGCCCCCAAUGCCGAGGGGGGUCAGGAUGGAGAUGGCGCCAGGGAAGUCCAGCGCUGGGGUGGAGAAGAACAUCCAGGAGGCCCCGGCCCCAGAGUUCCCACGGAUCAAGCCCCCCGAGAGAGUACAUCGGCGGACCGGGAGCCUGCAAGACCCCCGUUUUGCUACCGUGGGGCAGGAAGGCAUGAGGGGACACGACAAGGCGGAUGACCACUGCCGGGGGAGCCUGGCCGUCCAGGCGGCGCUCCAGAGAAAUGCGGCCAGAGUGGACGCCAUGCCUUCCCGGCCUUUGCAGGACAGAGGCCAGUGAGCCCAGGGUCUGCCCGGUUUGCAAGCACCAUCCUCCAUAAAAAGCCUGGGACAAGGCUGUGCUAUGUGUGUGUGCUCCACAUCCAGGCUGCAGCAAUAAAACAAGCCCUUCUUCCACA
rnacentral:lncRNA from 11 species